GGUGUAUUGUGUCUAAUUAGCAUCAGUUGCAUUUUCUCUGUUACUACCACUCCUGUACCUGGCAUCAUGCAAAUGGUCAGACUGACAGUGGUUGCAUUGCUGGCUGCAGCUUGCUGUACAAUAACAGAUGGAGCAAUCAGCAUCACGUGUGAAGGCCAUGAUGCUUUCUUGCAAUGUGAUGGAGGUAAGAUCCAAAUCAAGCGUGCCAACUAUGGUCGUCGUAAACACGAUGUGUGUUCCAUUGGGCGCCCGAUAACCAACUCACCGACACCAACUGCCUCAGCCAAUCCUCCACCAGCAAGAUGGCAGAAAGGUGCGAUGGAAAGAGCCAGUGUGUUGUCCCGGCAUCCAAUUUGGUUUUGGGGACCCCUGUGUUGGGACUUACAAGUACCUGGACACCAAAUACUCCUGUGUCCAACAGCACAAAACAAUAAGCAGCAUCGUAUGUGAAGGCUCUGAUUCCCAACUACUAUGUGAUCGGGGUGAGAUCCAUAUUCAGCGUGCCAACUAUGGUCGUCGUCAACACGAUGUGUGUUCCAUUGGGCGCCCACAGGAACAACUCAAAAACACCAACUGCCUCAGCCAAUCCAGCACCAGCACAAUGGCAGAAAGGUGUGACGGAGAGCGCCAGUGUAUUGUCGAGGUAUCCAACUCCGUGUUCGGCGACCCCUGUGUUGGAACUUAUAAGUACUUGGAUGUGGCUUACACCUGUGACUGAAUGAUAUCUUCCUGUGGAACAUGAAGAUGUACAAGGCUUCUGGGAUAUCUUCAUCAGGUCGUGCUGUUUUCCUCCAACUUCAAUGACCAUUGUAAACCUGUGUAUUUUGUGUUGAAGCAUUUCUGAACUGUGGUUGGUCUGAAUUAAAUGAAGUGUCAGAAAGACAAGAAU